AUGAAGACGGUCGGAGCGGCGGUGGAUGACGGGCGCGAGGCAACUGGAGGGCGCGAGGCAACUGGAGGGCGCGACGGCGCGCGCGGGAACGGGGUAGCCGAGGACGGCGGUUCGGCGUUGACCGGAGCAGGGGAAGAAGAGGGAGGUGUGGCGCUGCUCUCUCUUCCUCUCAAGCGGCGCAUCGAGGGAGGAGGGAAUCGAGCAUGGGGCGAGCACUCUGUGCGUGCGAGCGUGGCGGCGGCGCAGGAGUACGAGAGGUUGAGGGAGAGGGCGCCUAGGGUUAGAGGAGUGACUGGGCUGCGGGGAAAGGAUGGGCCUGGUGGGAGGCCCAAGUGA
rnacentral:rRNA from 1 species